UACGUAGGGAGCAAGCGUUGUCCGGAAUCAUUGGGCGUAAAGCGCGCGUAGGUGGCUUCAUAAGUCCGUUGUGAAAGUCAAAGGCUCAACCUUUGAAAGCCGAUGGAUACUGUGGAGCUAGAGUACGGAAGAGGCGAGUGGAAUUCCUGGUGUAGCGGUGGAAUGCGCAGAUAUCAGGAGGAACACCAAUAGCGAAGGCAGCUCGCUGGGACGUUACUGACACUGAGGCGCGAAAGCGUGGGGAGCGAACAAG
rnacentral:rRNA from 1 species